rnacentral:rRNA from 1 species
CCUACGGGUGGCAGCAGUGAGGAAUAUUGGUCAAUGGCCGGAAGUCUGAACCAGCCAAGCCGCGUGAGGGAGGAAGGCGCAGAGCGUCGCAGACCUCUUUUGCCGGGGGACAAAAGGCCGGGCUCGUCCGGUCCUGAGGGUACCCGGAGAACAAGCAUCGGCUAACUCCGUGCCAGCAGCCGCGGUAAUACGGAGGAUGCGAGCGUUGUCCGGAUUCCUUGGGUUAAAGGGGGGCGCAGGCGGGCCUUUAAGCCGGCGGUGAAAUCGCGGGGCUAAACCCCGCAGAGCCGUCAGAACUGGGGGCCUUGAGUGCGGCGGAGGCAUGCGGAAUGCGCGGUGUAGCGGUGGAAUGCGUAGAUA